CCCGGAAGUUCCGGGCCGAGUUCCUGGUUGCCAACGAGUCUCAUCAAGUGCGGCUGGAAACGGGGGACAUGGCGGCGUGUGGCCCAGCGCUAUGCCUUUUCGACGUGGACGGGACCCUGACCGCCCCGCGACAGAAAAUCACCGAGGAAAUGGACGGCUUUCUCCAAAACCUGAGACGGAAGAUCAAGAUUGGAGUGGUGGGCGGGUCCGACUUUGAGAAAGUGCGGGAGCAGCUGGGAAGUGACGUGGUUGAAAAAUAUGACUAUGUGUUUCCAGAAAAUGGCCUGGUAGCAUACAAAGAUGGGAAACUCUUGUGUAAACAGAACAUUCAGGGUCACCUGGGGGAGGCCCUGAUCCAAGAUUUAAUCAACUACUGCCUGAGCUACAUUGCGAAAAUUAAGCUCCCGCGAAAGAGAGGCACUUUCAUUGAGUUCCGAAAUGGGAUGUUAAACGUGUCCCCCAUUGGAAGAAGCUGCAGCCAAGAAGAACGCAUGGAGUUUCACGAACUCGAUAAGAAAGAAAACAUAAGACAGAAGUUCGUAGCAGAUCUGCGGAAGGAGUUUGCAGGAAAAGGCAUCACGUUCUCCAUAGGUAUCGUGCAUGCGGACGGGCCUCAGGAGCGGGUAAUGUUUCCCAUGGGAUUGCUGUGGGCCAGCGUGCUCUUAAAAUUAGACUGUGCCCAGUUUGAAGGCAGGUGGGAGGAUUUCGGGAGCCGUCCUUCCACAAGGAGAAAACCGCUCCUGUGUGAUCAGCCCUCACGGCGGCUUGCCCAGGCUGCUGGGUUUGGUUAUGAAUUCUCACUCGGCCGGACCCUUCCCCUUGGCCCGAAAUAGAGCGAGGCUGGGAAGAUUCUGGAAUAUAGUAAUAUUUGAGUAUCAGGGAACCUUGGCGAUCAGUAGGGUUGGUUUUACAAAUCAAGAAACCCAGGACCUGGAAGGAAACGGGACUUGUCUGAGCUCACACAGGUUUUAUCUACACGGGCAAACUGGCGUGCGAGCGUUUCUGGUGUCUGACACAGAGUUCUGCCUGUGGCGCUGGUGUCUUCGCCUUGGUUUUUGGUAGGAUACGCCCAUCAGAGGCACUAAGGAAACGAUUUGCUGGCACUCGUGAGUCAUUACUUAAAGCCCCCUCAUUUUACCACCUCUUGUAGGGGUACAGCUUUUGGAAAACUGGAAUUGCAAAGGGAUUAUGUCUGAUAGAUGAAGGGGUAGGUUUUUUAAAUAUCCUUGAGGUGUGAGCUGUUCGUCUCCCUGACAAAGGUCUGACUGGGCUUUCAUUGCCCUCAACACUGCCUGCAAUCCCCUUCCACGUGCUUUUCCUUUCUCCUGCAAGAUGAUCUACACGCCGUCUGCUUCUGGGCACUGUCCACCGAGAACGAGCGACUGUUAAAGCUCGAGGCGGGCCCAGCUGAAUGCAGCUGUUACCAGUUCUUUCGCCUGCUUGCUUCAUUCAGACCCACACGCUUGGCGAAGCACUUGAACACAGAUGCGUGCCUCGUUCUGAGCUGGCAGUUUGUCUCGCUUGCAGAUUUUAGGUGAAAGCAUGUUGGGAAAACAACAUGUCGCAUGAUUAGAACCUGUCCCUAAGUAGCAAACAAGGGUAGUAAAAAUCAACCUUGGCCGUCCAGUUGCUGCUGAGUAAACAGCACGUUCUUUUCAGGGCCGGGCCCUUAACCUCCUUUCUACCUUUAGCUUUUGUGUUUCUGGCCCUACAGGAGGCCAGAUCAGCAUUGACGUCUUUCCUGAUGGAUGGGACAAGAGGUACUGCCUGGGACAUGUGGAAAAAGACGGCUAUAAGACCAUCUAUUUCUUCGGAGACAAAACCAUGCCGGGCGGGAACGACCACGAGAUCUUCACUGACCCGAGGACCGUGGGCUACACGGUGACAGCGCCCGAGGACACCCGCAGGAUCUGUGAAGAGCUGUUCUCCUAGCGCCCCUCCUCCGAGGGAGGGCAGGGGUCCUGCCGACAGGCCUCCCUCACAUACCGGGCUCCCCACACGGUCCGGCCUCGGGUACCCCCGGCCCCGGCGAUGCCAGAAGCAGCCAGACUUGUCACCAACGGCCUGAAGGAACACCUCCAACCAGAUUUCGCCCCCAACCCCGAGCCUCAGACCCUCCAUACAUGCGAUCAUGGUACUUACGGUUUUCUGGGGACACUUCCCCAUCAUCCUAGGAUGAUACAAAGAACGAAUGUGCCCAGCCCCUCCCUCUCGAUGGUCUUGUGCAAAGCGUACCAGGCGUUAAUGUCUGGACCCCCGGUGUCAGUACCGCAAGGGGGAUUUGGUGGUGGGAAAGGACAGGAUGUUUACGGCCGUCCCACCCCAGGACUGAAGUUUAAAAUCACCUCCCGGAAGUGAAGCUCCUGCCCGAGGGUCACCUGGGGGUGGAGGGGCGGAGGGGGGAGGCAUUGAACCAAGGGCUCCAUGGUGGCCGCUAAGUGACCGCUGACCCCAAGGGCCUCAUACCUCAGCUGGCCUGGGGCGCAGGGGAGCCUGGAUUCACUAUACUCGGGGGAGCCACUGCCUCUCUGACUUCUCCAGUGCGAGGGGGACGGGAAAGGACAGGCGGUGCUGCCCCCACGUGCAGGCCCCGGGCUGGGCUGAGAGACACCAGCCCCUGGCAUCCUACUUCUCCCUGCUGUGCCCGGCAGGCUCCCCAGGGGCCUUACUCACCUCGACUUUCUCAGGGAUCACGGAAGAGCCUGGAGGGUUCCCGGAACGCGAGCGGCCUGCUUCUCCGCAGAUCUCAUGCACCUGCAUGCCCCCUCCGGCCUCCCCCACACAGUGACCUGAGGGGUGGGAACAGCCCGGUGGUUGGGCCCGUGACCCUCACCCCUGCUUCAGACUUCAAGUGGAAGGCAGCCCCAGGGCCCAGUGGAACAGGCCCUUCCAGGGAAACGGUUCACAUGUCACCUUUUAGAACCUGGACGUGUCAGGACCCACAAACCCUCAGUCCACUCCACGGCACGGCCUCUGCACAGGGCCCGUUGACCUGACUGGGCGUCUGCACACACCCCCACCCCCCCCGCCAGGUGCUUUCAUCUCCACGGAAGCGGCUUCCGUCCAAGCCUGCUGGGGACCCCGAGGCCUGUCUCAGCACGAUCCGGUUGGGGGCAGCCUGCCCACAUGACCGCACAGGGUGACGUGGCACAGUGGUUCCCAGGACACAGCUACCCCGUGGCACCUUUUGUUGAAUUUUGCAAAUGAUAUUGUAAUGACCUUUCACAAUGAAAAGAAGCAAAUUAAAGUGAUUUUAUUGUUUCCUA